CCCCCCGCCCCAACCCGCGCGCGGCCCUGCCGGGCCGAGCCGGGCCGGGCCGAGCAGCGGCUCCGCGGCCGGCAGCUGCCUCGAUGUUCUGCAUAAAGUCCUAUCUUAAUGAGAGGGAGGGAAUGAACGCUGCGUGAACCGAGAGCCCAGCUCUCCCCAAGCAAAGGCGGAGGAAGAAGACGAGGCGGGGGGGGGGCGACCAAAGCCGCCCUCUCCCCGGCGAGCGGAGCGGGUGGGGGCUGCUGCUGCCGCCGCCGCCGCCGCUGGCGGGGGCUGCGGCCACGGGAUGGCGCCGCCGCCGCCCGCUCGCACCUGGGGAAGCGGCGUCUCACCUGGGCUCCGGCUCGGCUCGGCUCGGCUCGGCAGGCUCCGGGCCUGCCUGCCUGCCCGCCUGCCGCCGGCGGCGGCAGCGGCUGGGAGGAGGCCAGGGCAGUGGCACCGCUCAUCUUAACGAAUUGCAAUAAAAGCGCUAUUCGAAGUGA